rnacentral:rRNA from 1 species
AUGUGGACCUGUCUUCGUCAGCGCUAUGAGCCCUCUGGUGAUGCCUUAUACCUUUCUGUGGUUCGUCAGGAGCAUGCUCUUCAGCAGGGUGACUCUACUGUUGAUGACUUUUAUGCACAGAGUUCUGCUAUCUGGCGUCAGCUUGAUUCUCUCCGCAGUGCUGGUUGUCGUACUUGCCCCUGCUGCCAGGCUGUCCAGGCCAAUUUGGAGUUUCAUCGCGUCUACGAGUUCCUGUCUCGGCUCCGUAAGGAGUUUGAGCCCCGACGUGCUCAGUUGUUUGCUCGUGGCCGUAUUUCUCUCAUGGAGGCGCUUUCAGAGAUUCGUGCUGAGGAUACUCGCUUACGUGGUGCUGGUUUGCUGGAGGUUCCCUCUGUGCUCGCUACUCGGGCUUCUUCAACUCCACCUGCUGCACCGGCCCAUUCUCGCUCGAGUGCUCCGCCGCUCUUGCCCACUCCUUCUGGAGGCUUAGGUCGCCCAUGUUCACAUUGUGACUACUGCAACAAUGAUGGUCAUAUUGAGUCCCAGUGCUACACAAAGUAG